AAAGAAAUAAAUAAAUAAAAGAAAUGAAAAAGAGAAACAAAGAAAACGAAAUAGAGAAGAACAGGGGAGAAAGAAAGGGAAGAAAGGGAGAAAAGGGAAAAUCAAGGUUUUGAAGCUUAAACUUUAAUAGCUAAGCAAGGAAAAAUGACAAAGACAAUGGGAGUUAGCUCGAGAAAAUAUGGUUAGGUUAAAGAAAGAUCGUCGAAUCAGCAUCCUAAGCCGAUCCCGGACUCAACAAGGUAAAAUAUGUUAAUUGUUGAUAAUGGCAUGUACCUAGGCUAUUAAGUUAAUAGAGUAAAAAUGUUCAAGAAUGGUUUAAAGAUAUUAGGUCAUAAAAUGAAAUAUACAUGCUUGAAAGUUAAUAUAAGUAAGUUGUUUAAGAUUGUAAACAAAA